AACACGUGGGUGAUCUGCCCUGCACUUUGGGAUAAGCCUGGGAAACUGGGUCUAAUACCGAAUAUACCCUGCUGGUCGCAUGGCCUGGUGGGGGAAAGCUUUUGCGGUGUGGGAUGGGCCCGCGGCCUAUCAGCUUGUUGGUGGGGUGAUGGCCUACCAAGGCGACGACGGGUAGCCGGCCUGAGAGGGUGACCGGCCACACUGGGACUGAGAUACGGCCCAGACUCCUACGGGAGGCAGCAGUGGGGAAUAUUGCACAAUGGGCGCAAGCCUGAUGCAGCGACGCCGCGUGAGGGAUGACGGCCUUCGGGUUGUAAACCUCUUUCAGUAGGGACGAAGCGCAAGUGACGGUACCUAUAGAAGAAGGACCGGCCAACUACGUGCCAGCAGCCGCGGUAAUACGUAGGGUCCGAGCGUUGUCCGGAAUUACUGGGCGUAAAGAGCUCGUAGGUGGUUUGUCGCGUUGUUCGUGAAAACUCACAGCUUAACUGUGGGCGUGCGGGCGAUACGGGCAGACUGGAGUACUGCAGGGGAGACUGGAAUUCCUGGUGUAGCGGUGGAAUGCGCAGAUAUCAGGAGGAACACCGGUGGCGAAGGCGGGUCUCUGGGCAGUAACUGACGCUGAGGAGCGAAAGCGUGGGGAGCGAACAGGAUUAGAUACCCUGGUAGUCCACGCCGUAAACGGUGGGUACUAGGUGUGGGUUUCCUUCCUUGGGAUCCGUGCCGUAGCUAACGCAUUAAGUACCCCGCCUGGGGAGUACGGCCGCAAGGCUAAAACUCAAAGGAAUUGACGGGGGCCCGCACAAGCGGCGGAGCAUG
rnacentral:rRNA from 1 species